GGGUGAUUAGCUCAGCUGUGAGAGCACCUCCCUUACAAGGAGGGGGUCGGCGGUUCGAUCCCGUCAUCACCCACCA
rnacentral:tRNA from 3 species